rnacentral:rRNA from 1 species
CAGCCGCCGGGUAAUACGUAGGGGGCGAGCGUUGUCCGGAAUUAUUGGGCGUAAAGCGCGCGCAGGCGGUCCCUUAAGUCUGAUGUGAAAGCCCACGGCUCAACCGUGGAGGGUCAUUGGAAACUGGGGGACUUGAGUGCAGAAGAGGAGAGCGGAAUUCCACGUGUAGCGGUGAAAUGCGUAGAGAUGUGGAGGAACACCAGUGGCGAAGGCGGCUCUCUGGUCUGUAACUGACGCUGAGGCGCGAAAGCGUGGGGAGCAAACAGGAUUAGAUACCCUGGUAGUCCACGCCGUAAACGAUGAGUGCUAAGUGUUAGAGGGGUUAAACCCUUUAGUGCUGGAGCUAACGCGUUAAGCACUCCGCCUGGGGAGUACGGCCGCAAGGCUGAAACUUAAAGGAAUUGGCGGG